GGGAAAUAGAGUGUGUUGUGAUUGCAGAGGCGUGAACCAGAAGGGCAAAGGAUCCAGCAGUAAAAAGAACAACCUGUCAUCCUUUCAGUAUUCUCUGUCCUGAAAUUGCUGUGGAAAUGUGGCAGAUGGGGCUCCAGGUGCCACAGAGCCAACGCUUCCUCUACAUUAGAACACAGCGAAGUUCUGAGUUAGGGCUUGCCUGAUGCAGGCAAAGGAACUCAAACCAAAAUAUGCUGGAUUGAGAAACUAGCUGGAGUUCACGUUCUCUGUGGAGUGAGCUUUGGGGUGGACUGCUGCUGAAGGCAGAGUUUGCUGCACGGGGGAGAAGGCGACAGUUCCUACAGAGGCAAGGUGCUCUGCGGGACAGUUCGUAACCUCCUGUGAGAAGUAUCUGAGUCAUUUAAUCGAGUAGCAGCGAGGUUUCAUUACGGCGCUGUAACAGAGAAGCCUGGAACGGUAUCUGCUGCUAGGAGAGGUCCUUCACCCCCCUCGGGCCCGGCGGCGAGGGAGAAAGGUGAAUCUGCUGCAAAGCCAGCCCGGGAGCUCCGCCGCCCCCCGGGCCCCGCUCCCCAUGGGGAGGCGGAGGCGGCCCCGCUGCCCCCCGCUGCCGGUCCCGCUCCCGGCUGGCGGCCUGCCCGGAGAGGGGGAGGCGGCCGCGGGGCUCUGCCAGCCGGGUGUGCCCUGCCCUAGGCGCGGCUCCCUGGCAGGUACUAAUCGCCGCCCUGCCCUGGCUCCCUCCUGCAUUCGCCGCCCCGCUCCCCCCGGAGCCGGCGGUCCCCGAGCGCGGCCGGCAUGUACGGGGGCCAGCAGCAGCUGCAGCCCCCCUCGCUGCCCCCGCACCUCCAGCAGCAGCACCAGCAGCACCACUACUACCGGCGCCAGCAGCACUACAGCACGCUCCCCGCCGCCCGGCGGACCCCGGC